rnacentral:lncRNA from 1 species
CAUAGAGGCCAUGACUGGGGAGGGUUGGGCGACAGAGAAACGAAAGAUAAUAGGAGUAGGGAUGUGGAAGUGGGACAGCAGGAAUGGAUACAAAGUGGUGUAAUAGUCUGGAAAGGAUUGGAAUGCAGGGCAGUAUCUUAAGAAUCCCAGGCUCAUUCUGUUUCAUUGAGAGAAAAUUUCCUAGCAACAAAUCAUCCCAGCAUCUCAGGUCUUCUAUCUACGCUGAAAUGUUAAUGCAAUGAACCACAAGGAGUGUGGUUUCAAAAUUGAUGGGCUAGCAACACAAACUGGGAAUUCUUUUGUUUAUUUAAAUUUCUAUGACAAGGAGAUUUGACCAGGAGGAGACGCUCUGGUGGAUGUUGGGGAAAUAGAGGAAGAGGACCAGCCACUGCUCUCAAGGAUCUCAGACCCAUAUGUGAUCGAUGACAACGCAGCAAGUGUGUCAACAGAAAACUGAUCCCAAAAAGGCCCAGAGGGUAAAAGCCUGACUCUUCCAGAAAGUUUCAGGGAGGAAGUGCUAUGGCUGACUAUUGCAAGAAGAUUCAGAUGGAAGGGGAAGAUAAGGAAGGACAUUCCCGGCAGAAGGGACAGCUUGGCCAAGGGCGUAGCAUUAAGGAGAGAGCAGGUUUUGACAAGUUGCUGUCAAAAGAAGGGUUAAGUCCACAGAUUUCAUUGUAAUUCCUGGCACAGAGUUUGAGGUACCGCUAUCUGCAAAGGGGACCAAACAGAUGACUUGCCCAGGAAUUUGGGGGAGAGCCUGAAGCCAUCUCCUGUAAUCGUAGCAUCUCAUUAAAAAAUUCUGAUUUAUUGUAAAAAUCUAUUUGAACUUGUGUCUAAUCCAUUUUUGUAUGUGUUCUUGGUUUUCAAAUAAAAAUGUUUUAAAUUAAUUAUUUUGUGUAUUAUUUACC